UUGGAGGCGAGUGGAAAGAAGAAAACUUCUGCACAAAUCGAUCAAGGUCCAAAAGAAUUUUUUAGGUACAUGCCACAUUAUAAUCAAAACAAUAAUGUUUUUGAUACAUAGAAUGUUCAUUCACAUAUACACAUGAACAAAGUGUCAAUCCCCUAUCCGAUAGAAAAAAAAUGAUCCAUCCACAACUAACCCGUGCCAAAUCUUCCUGAACUAAAAUACAUGCCAAACUUGGACCCUGAGAUCCUCGAGGUACCAAUUUUUAUGGGACGAUCUGUAAUAACAACAAUUACUUCAUGAGUUUGUAGUAUUGAAUGAAGCAGCAGUCUAUGCCAAAUUCGGACCAAGGUAACAGGAGCAAAAUAGCUAAACGGUAACAUGAAAAUAAAAUCAACACAUGUUACAAAAUUUGAGCAGGAACACUAGCAUGAUGACAUGAAUCUGCACACGCUAUGUAUUUGAGCAGGAUCUCAUUCACUUCAUCUGGAAACAAUUUAAUGAGACAAAAAUCAAGAAGCAAUUGGUUUGAGCAUAAUCCGGUAUUUACAAACAAGAAACAAAUUGUUGCCAACCUAGUUUUGUUCAAUGUAUAUUGCAUGAUUUAUGUAAUCUGGGUACAUUUUUUUCUUUGAACCCACCUCUAAAUUACUGCAAGCGUGCAACAAUCACAAAACACAACAUCUACUAUUUGCUGUGUUUUCUUCUUCUCCAGCAUAAAUUGAACUGCUGCAAGUAAUUGCUAAAAUUUAGCAUUGUUUUUUCUGUAGGGUGAAGAUGCAGGUAGCGCAAGUUGGCAUCGGAACAUGGAAAUGCAGGGGCUACGAUGAGCUAUGCAAAGGCCGCCUCGAGGCUGGGAGAAGUUCAGGAGAAGCACAAAAAUACCAUUGAACGGCCUGGGGAUGUGUCCUUGAACGACCCAAGGAGGCGGCGUUGAACAGUUUUUGGCGAUGCCGCGGCGGAGCCCCACCGAGAGGAGGCUGCGUCAUGGAGGGGCGAGCUUCAUGAUGGGCGACUGAGAGGAUGCGGAUUCCGCCUGAGAGCUCUGCCGGCGGCAUCAUCCAGGUGUCAAAGGAGUGGCGUGGAUCCACUUGGGCGGCGGCGGCGCGCAGGGAGGGUGAGUUGGGGUGGCGCCGUCGUGCAGGGAAGGUGGGUUGGGGCAGCGACGNN
rnacentral:lncRNA from 1 species